UACGUAGGGUGCAGGCGUUAAUCGGAAUUACUGGGCGUAAAGCGUGCGCAGGCGGUUCGUUGUGUCGGCGGUGAAAGCCCAGGGCUCAACCCUGGAAUUGCCUUUAAUACUGUCGACCUUGAGUAUGGCAGAGGUGUGUGGAACUCCGAGUGUAGAGGUGAAAUUCGUAGAUAUUCGGAAGAACACCAGUGGCGAAGGCGACACACUGGGCCAUUACUGACGCUGAGGCGCGAAAGCGUGGGGAGCAAACAGG
rnacentral:rRNA from 1 species